AAUUGCUUCCUAUAUAUUUUUCCUACUCCGUCUCACUGAUAAAGCUAUGAAUCAUAUUGAUUAAGAUUUCUACAGUCAGUUGUGCUGCAUUGUUGGUGACCUUGGACAUCACAAUCCACAGAAAGUUUUGUAAGUGGACACUUGAGAUUGAAAAAAUAAAUAAGAAUCUACUCAGGAUCUAGGGUGGAGUAGAACAGCAUCUAAGUAUUCUGGAAUGAUGUGUCAACUGGAAGGCCUCCAAAUAGACAUACAGAUGCCAACAGGAUGAUUUGGAUGUGUAUAUAAACCCAAC